GCACCCUUAGCUCAGUUGGUAGAGCAACUGACUCUUAAUCAGUGGGGCUAGGGUUCGAAUCCCUAAGGGUGUA
rnacentral:tRNA from 1 species